GACGAACGCUGGCGGUGUGCUUAACACAUGCAAGUCGAACGGUAAGGCCCUUUCGGGGGUACACGAGUGGCGAACGGGUGCGUAACACGUGAGUAACCUGCCCUCAUCUCUGGUAUAACAGUCGGAAACGAUUGCUAAUACUGGUUAUAAGCUUGCCAGCCAUCUUGUGGGUUGGAAAGAUUUUUUUUGGUUGGGGAUGGACUCGCGGCCUAUCAGCUUGUUGGUGAGGUAGUGGCUCACCAAGGCUUCGACGGGGAGCCGGCCUGAGAGGGCGACCGGCCACAUUGGGACUGAGAUACGGCCCAAACUCCUACGGGAGGCAGCAGUGGGGAAUAUUGCACAAUGGACGGAAGUCUGAUGCAGCAACGCCGCGUGCGGGAUGACGGCCUUCGGGUUGUAAACCGCUUUCAAUUGUGACGAAGCUUUUUUGUGACGGUAGCAGUAGAAGAAGCACCGGCUAACUACGUG
rnacentral:rRNA from 1 species